GGGUCGUUAGCUCAGUCGGUAGAGCAGUUGACUCUUAAUCAAUUGGUCGUAGGUUCGAAUCCUACACGACCCACCA
rnacentral:tRNA from 1 species